UACGUAGGGUGCAAGCGUUAAUCGGAAUUACUGGGCGUAAAGCGUGCGCAGGCGGUUGUGCAAGACCGAUGUGAAAUCCCCGGGCUCAACCUGGGAAUGGCAUUGGUGACUGUACGGCUAGAGUGUGUCAGAGGGGGGUAGAAUUCCACGUGUAGCAGUGAAAUGCGUAGAGAUGUGGAGGAAUACCGAUGGCGGAAGGCAGCCCCCUGGGAUAACACUGACGCUCAUGCACGAAAGCGUGGGGAGCAAACAGG
rnacentral:rRNA from 1 species